rnacentral:snRNA from 1 species
GUGCUAGUGAGGGGUUUGAGUUGCUGCUCUCUCCUG